GAAUAAAGCACCAUACCUGAACAAACCCAAUCCCAUCUGAUCUCGGAAGCUAAGCAGGAUCGGGCCUGGUUAGUACUUGGAUGGGAGACCACCUGGGAAGACCAGGUGCUGUAGGCA
rnacentral:rRNA from 1 species